CACCCCCACCAAGGAAAAAAAAAAAGCAUUGCCCCUGCCAUUACAUGAUUGAUGUACUGAGACCUCUUUAUCCUCCAUGUCUUCUCACAUAGGAAUGAAAAGAAAAGGAUAAAAGAAGGAAAGAUCAAAAGAAAAAGAACUGAGGUGAAAAGUAUGGAUAAAUCAGUUAAAAAAUCACUCCUCCAUUGCAUGGUUUUCCUCGGUUUGUUGUCGUGAGACCUUGACCUUGAUCUUGGGCAACGUAAGAGAUGGAUCUUGAGCAAGAAUUGAAGGAGGUUUGACCAUGUGGAUACUCUGCUCCAAUUCCUUUGCUG
rnacentral:misc_RNA from 1 species